rnacentral:rRNA from 1 species
CCCUUAGAUGUUCUGGGCGGCCCGCGCACUACAUUGGCACUAGCAAAGAGAUCCUAGAUUGAAUUCUUUGGGGUAUUCUUCUAAAUGGUGUCGUGACUGGGAUAAAUCCUUGUAAUUAUUGGUUUUGAACGAGGAAUUCCUUGUAACCGCGGUUUAUCAGCUCGCGUUGAAUGCGUCCCUGCCCUUUGUACACACCGCCCGUCGCUCCUACCGAUGGAUCGUCCGGUGAAGCUCACGGAGUGACUGUUCACGCAACGGUUUACGAAGUGAAAUGGACCUCACGAUUUAGAGGAAGGAGAAGUCGUAACA